rnacentral:piRNA from 1 species
UCAUAAAGGAAAUUCUGAAAC